CCUUAUACCUAUCGGACUCUUCCAUAAAGUGUACUUGGAGCCUGGCUCAGUGCAUCUCCAGUUCUAAGGUACCUAAGACUCACCGAGGAGUCUUGCUGCAAAGGCAGGUUCUGAUUCAGCAGGUGUGCAGUGAGGAGCCGAGAUUCCAGAUUGCUAAUGAGGCCCCAGGUGUGGCCCAUGAACCACACUUUACAUAGUGGCCCAGGCACAGUUCCUCAGGCUGCUCGCAGGGUGCCUGCUUGGAGAUGCGGUUGGUCAUAGCUUUUCGUCCAAGGAGGUCUCCGCAGAGGUGUCCUGUACUCUGUUUGGUGCCAUGGUGGGCCCAGUCUACGUUUUUGUGACCACCAAUGAAGAGGCCUGGGCUUGAAAAAUUUUCUUCUGGAAGCUGCCUGCCUUCCUUGGCUCAUGACCCUGCCUCCACAGUGCAUCUCUGCAGUCUUUGGUUCCAUUGUCACCUCAGCUUUCCCUUCCUUGAUCAUACCUCCUCCCUCUUCUAAGGACCCUUAUUCCGUUUGGUCUACCUGGAUAACCCAGGACAACCUCCCCAUCUCAAGGCUCAUCCUCUUAAUCCCACCUGUAGAGUCCGUUUCCCCGGGGAAGGUGACUUGGGUCACAGGUUCUGGGGUUGCGAUGGAUGGGAUGUGUUGCUCUACCUGCCACAGACAUAUAUGUAACCCGUGGCAACAACACUCGCCAUCUGCUCUUUGGAGGCUUGUCCUAACACUAAACACCAGGUUCUUCACUUGCCUUCUCUCUUUGUCCCUAAAGAAAUUCAUGUUUUCUUGGCUAA